GCUACCUUGCCUGUGAUAGAUGCAGCCUUCUAAGUUGCUAUGUUUCUUUCACAGAGCGUGAUAGUAACUCCCUUAAGCAUGUGCAGGUUCAUAUAUUAGACUAACAGUUUUCAUAGAAUAAAUAUAUAAAGACCUUAUCUUUCAGCAUGUUAUUCAGAAAUUGAAUCAACACCAUUACCUUACUAGUAAUAAUUAAAAGAGAAUAUUGUUUUCAUUACAAGUAAGAGAAACAAACUAGCCAGGCAUAGAAAGGGAAUUUAUUAAGGACCUUAUCAUAGGAACUCUGGUUUCAGUUUCAAACCAGGAGAUAGAAUGGUUCAAAUAAGGUCACCAGACUCAGCCUUGUGCUCACUAUCUCUUCACACUGCUUCCCUCUUACUUUAUUUCAACCUUAGGUAGAUGUUCUUUUUAUGAGAGAAAGAUACCUUCUAGAAGCUCCAAGCUCCCAUUUAACUUCUCUGAGUCUCUGGGAGCUUACUCACUGUCUGAUUAGAUAGCUUUGGGACACAUGCUAUUGUGAAAGCACUCGUUACAUUCAGGGUAAGGGAUAUGCUCUUGCCCAGAUUUCUUAAUGUAUUCACCUGUAGUGGACAUUGCUAGUGCCCUGAAAAUAUCCCCUCUGGUCUACCUCACAUGACCUUUUGGCCAGUGCUUGAGUACUGUGUGCUUUGUUGCUAUUGCCUUGCAGCUGCAAUCUUCAGAGGAUUGCCUAUACAGAGAGAGACAGAGACAGAGACAGAGACAGAGACAGAGACAGAGAAACAGAGUGAGAGAGAGAGAGAGAGAGCGAGAGAUCAUGGAAAAGACAGAAUGUAAGUCUUUAUUGGUUAUAGGUCAGCCUAUAGUAACUUACUGAGAUAUAAAAAGACCAGCUGCAUUGCUGGGAGGCAAAGCAAACUCUAAUUUGCAGUUUAUACUUCAGAGCUGUUUCUCUCUGCCAUCUAACAGGGUAGAACUUCAUCCUAAAUCACACGCUUGUUGACUUCCUCCUCUUCUACAUCUUCCUUCUCCCCCUUUCUUGUGGAUUGUUUGGAUAGCACCUCCUAAAGAAAUCAUUUGCAAUCAAAUUCUUGGCUGAGAAUCAGCUUCUGGGAGAAUCUGACCCAGAAAGUAUCCUUGACUGCAGGAAUCCAGACUAAUAUGGAGUCAGAGUUGGAAAAGGAGACUACUCAAGGAGAAUCAACAUGCUAUUACCAGAGGUGAAUCACUUCAAAGAGAAGGGACAGAUUCUCAUGGACCCUACUGCCCUGCAGCCCAGACAGUUUGCUGCCAUUGUUUUCCUGCUACUUACUCUCAAACAGGUAUCCAAAAGGAAAGGAAUUUAACUCUUGACUUUAUCCUCUAUGCUGAAGAAUUCCUGAGAUCAGCGUUAAGAAAGGUAAAAGCCAAAAGUUCAUCAUCUAUAUUUAACAUAUUUUCUUCCUAUACAUUUUAAUAUGUUGAAAAUAAUCUAGUAGAGGAAAAGAGACCAAUGAUGGAAAAAAGAAAGCUGAUUCUAGGAGAGAAGGCCUUGCGUAGGGAGGAAAGGAUGGAAUAUGCAAUACAAAUGGAUGUGUUGAUUAUUUAUAGGACCAGAGACACUUCAUCCAUUUUAACAGCAGACAAAUGGGAAGCGUGGAUGCCUAUGCAGGAGGGCGGGAAAUGUAAUGGAAGAAACAGGGAAGGUUUCACAACUGAUUCUAUCUGUGUUUUCUGUGAGAUAAUGAGACUACAUCAUCGGUUGAAAUCAAGAAAAGAAGAGAGAGUGCCAGAGAUUCCCACUCUAAAGAG